rnacentral:rRNA from 1 species
GACGAACGCUGGCGGCGUGCCUAAUACAUGCAAGUUGAGCGCUGAAGGUUGGUACUUGUACCAACUGGAUGAGCAGCGAACGGGUGAGUAACGCGUGGGGAAUCUGCCUUUGAGCGGGGGACAACAUUUGGAAACGAAUGCUAAUACCGCAUAAAAACUUUAAACACAAGUUUUAAGUUUGAAAGAUGCAAUUGCAUCACUCAAAGAUGAUCCCGCGUUGUAUUAGCUAGUUGGUGAGGUGAAGGCUCACCAAGGCGAUGAUACAUAGCCGACCUGAGAGGGUGAUCGGCCACAUUGGGACUGAGACACGGCCCAAACUCCUACGGGAGGCAGCAGUAGGGAAUCUUCGGCAAUGGACGAAAGUCUGACCGAGCAACGCCGCGUGAGUGAAGAAGGUUUUCGGAUCGUAAAACUCUGUUGGUAGAGAAGAACGUUGGUGAGAGUGGAAAGCUCAUCAAGUGACGAUAACUACCCAGAAAGGGACGGCUAACUACGUG